rnacentral:rRNA from 1 species
AUUGAACGCUGGCGGCAGGCCUAACACAUGCAAGUCGAGCGGUAGAGAGAAGCUUGCUUCUCUUGAGAGCGGCGGACGGGUGAGUAAUGCCUAGGAAUCUGCCUGAUAGUGGGGGAUAACGUCCGGAAACGGACGCUAAUAUCGCAUACGUCCUACGGGAGAAAGUGGGGGCUCUUCGGACCUCACGCUAUCAGAUGAGCCUAGGUCGGAUUAGCUAGUUGGUGGGGUAAAGGCUCACCAAGGCGACGAUCCGUAACUGGUCUGAGAGGAUGAUCAGUCACACUGGAACUGAGACACGGUCCAGACUCCUACGGGAGGCAGCAGUGGGGAAUAUUGGACAAUGGGCGAAAGCCUGAUCCAGCCAUGCCGCGUGUGUGAAGAAGGUCUUCGGAUUGUAAAGCACUUUAAGUUGGGAGGAAGGGUCGUUACCUAAUACGUGACGAUUUUGACGUUACCGACAGAAUAAGCACCGGCUAACUCUGUGCCAGCCGCCGCGGUAAAAC